GGGUAUGUUAAUAGCAUACUCAUUUGACGUUAGCUGCAGAAGAAGCACCGGCUAAACUCCGUGCCAGCUAGCCGCGGUAAUACGGAGGGUGCGAGCGUUAAUCGGAAUUACUGGGCGUAAAGCGCAUGCAGGUGGUUUGUUAAGUCAGAUGUGAAAGCCCGGGGCUCAACCUCGGAAUUGCAUUUGAAACUGGCAAACUAGAGUACUGUAGAGGGGGUAGAAUUUCAGGUGUAGCGGUGAAAUGCGUAGAGAUCUGAAGGAAUACCGGUGGCGAAGGCGGCCCCCUGGACAGAUACUGACACUCAGAUCGCGAAAGCGUGGGGAGCAAACAGGAUUAGAUACCCUGGUAG
rnacentral:rRNA from 1 species